ACAUUUCCUGUUCUGCCUGGUGACAAACAGGUCUACCUGGGAAGUCCCCCACCACUGGAAACUGACCUUUAUUACAUCGGACUGAAGGGACCACUUGUGGGGACUGGAAAAGGACCUGCUGAAGUGAUCUGCCAGCUCAUUCCAGGCUCCCUAGAAGGGACAAGGGUAUUCUGCUCAUUUAUAAGCAGGUCCAGCACCUGAAAGGUCGACUAUAUGGAGUUGGAUAAUGGCCUCCACCUGGGCCUGGCCUUUGACCAGCCAGUCAUCGAGGUCCUGACGGGGAAGUGGAGCUGAGAAAUGGUUGGAGUGUUGAGGCCUGAAGUGCUUUGUUGAAGGCUUCAGAGUGUAAAGACCCAGGACUUAAGGGUGGCUCUGGAAUCUUUCAGGCCAUGGAGCUUCACAUCUGUUUGCUCUGAGAAGAGUGAAGCGUCUUCAAGUGAAAGGUCCUGAAUCGACUGCUGGAUCCCUGUUGGCAGUCAUGAGGAUUGGAACCAAAAGCAUGACUAUUGCAAAAGCUAGGGAUCUAGCCACCGAGUCUGCUGUGUCCAGGGCAGCCUGCAGGAAAGCCCUGACUACAGACUUCCCCUCCUCUACCAGAGAAGAGAACUACUGCCUGAAUUCCUGGGGAAGCGAGUCCUUGAAUUUCAACAAAGUCCCAGACAAUGAAAUCGUACCUCCCCAGCAAGGCCUGCUAAUUGGAGAUGCUGCGCUGUAGAACCCCUGUAGAAGAAACCUUUCUACCAAAAAGGUCUAGUCUCUGUGUCUUUUGCCUUGGGGGGGGAUCGCUGCUUGUUGCCCUUGUCUGUCCCUCUUGUUGGUCACUGAGACCACCAGGAACUCAGGAGGGAGUGGGAGUACAAGUACUCAUACCCAUGAGAGGGAUCAAAAUACUUCUUUUUUGGCUCUUUUUGAGGUGGAAGGCAAGGAAGAUGGGGUUUUCACAGAACUUUAACUGGCCCAUGCUGGCCUUAUUGAGAGGGAGAGCCACCUUUGACAGGGCUGCCGCAGUCAAAAUAUUGACCAGGCUGUGGGAGGGCUCUUUAACUACCUCUACUUCCAGCAAGAGGUUCGAAAGCCACUCUUUUCAAGAGCUCCUGAUGAGCUUUGAAGUCAUCAUGGGGAGGUGACAUGCCCACCCCUGACACUGCCUCAUCUGGAGAAGAGGAUGAGGAGUUCUGCACCAGCAGGGGUGAUCCUCUUCUUCUUCUGGUCUGAUCCGAUCCUGAGGAUUGGAACUGGGUUUGGUAUUGGAGUCCAUGUCCGGUGCUGCUCAAUGGGAGGGAGGUGCUCUCCUCUCUGAGACCACCGAGUAUUAGCACCUGGAAGGGAGUCCCUGCACUGGGGGAAAAACCCAGAGUUUCCAAAAUGGCCAUUGCAUC